rnacentral:RNase_P_RNA from 1 species
GGAGUCGGCCAGACAGUCGCUGUCCCGGUCCUGGAUCGGGGUGGAGGAAAGUCCGGGCUCCACAGGACAGGGCGCCAGGUAACGCCUGGGGGGCGCGAGCCCACGGAAAGUGCCACAGAAAAUAUACCGCCCCACCGGCUACGGCCGGUGUGGUAAGGGUGAAAUGGUGCGGUAAGAGCGCACCGCGCCGCCGGUAACGGUAGCGGCAGGGUAAACCCCGCCCGGAGCAAGACCAAAUAGGGGGGCAACGCGGCCCGACCGCGUACGUGUGGUCCGCACGGCUCCCGGGUAGGUCGCAAGAGGCGCGCUGUGAAGCGUGUCCCAGAUGAAUGGCUGUCCACGACAGAACCCGGCUUAUCGGCUGACUCCUCCC